CAGAAAAAAUGUUUUUCUUCAAAAUUUAGGUAAAAUAUCAAUGUGAUGUGUGUAGAACGUAACUGUUUUAAUACACUCAAUUUACCUCCUUUUACUUUGGUAUGUGAAAGAGAACGAAAUCAUAUCGUCUUGUCUUAUUCACAACAUCAAAAGAGUAAAUUUAGCUACUACGCUAAAAGAACCUCUUCUACAGAGGAGCAUUAGAAUUAUAUUUGUUAAUUGUAUAAACAGUUUCCUAGUUUUAUUUCCAAAAUAAAUAAAAUAUGCUUGGUUUGGUCUUGUAGCAUUUUAUCCAUCAGUUUUUAUGGGUAA